rnacentral:rRNA from 1 species
UACGAAGGGGGCUAGCGUUGCUCGGAUUGACUGGGCGUAAAGGGCGCGUAGGCGGAUAGUACAGUCAGGCGUGAAAUUCCUGGGCUCAACCUGGGGGCUGCGUUUGAUACGUGUUGUCUGGAGUUCGGAAGAGGGUCGUGGAAUUCCCAGUGUAGAGGUGAAAUUCGUAGAUAUUGGGAAGAACACCGGUGGCGAAGGCGGCGACCUGGUCCGAUACUGACGCUGAGGCGCGAAAGCGUGGGGAGC